rnacentral:siRNA from 1 species
CCAUAACCCGCGAUAUGGCGA